rnacentral:rRNA from 1 species
CCUACGGGAGGCUGCAGUGGGGAAUAUUGCACAAUGGGGGAAACCCUGAUGCAGCGACGCCGCGUGAGUGAAGAAGUAUUUCGGUACGUAAAGCUCUAUCAGCAGGGAAGAAAAUGACGGUACCUGACUAAGAAGCCCCGGCUAACUACGUGCCAGCAGCCGCGGUAAUACGGAAGGUCCGGGCGUUAUCCGGAUUUAUUGGGUUUAAAGGGAGCGUAGGCCGCAUGUCAAGCGUGCUGUGAAAUGUCCGGGCUCAACCCCGUACUGCCGUUGAAACUGCAUCCCUUGAGUGCGCGAGAAGUAUGCGGAAUGCGUGGUGUAGCGGUGAAAUGCAUAGAUAUCACGCAGAACUCCGAUUGCGAAGGCAGCAUACCGGCGCGCAACUGACGCUCAUGCACGAAAGCGUGGGUAUCGAACAGGAUUAGAUACCCGGGUAGUC